CCAAUAGCGUAUAUUAAAGUUGUUGCAGUUAAAAAGCUCGUAGUUGAAUUUCGGGGUUAGUACGCUGGUCGUGCCUUCGGUAUGUACUGGUGUUACUGAUUCCUACCUUCUGAAGAACCGUCAUGUCAUUAAUUUGGUGUGGCGGGGAAUCAGGACUGUUACUUUGAAAAAAUUAGAGUGUUUAAAGCAGGCUCGCGCUUGAAUACAUUAGCAUGGAAUAAUGAAAUAGGACGUUUGAUCCUAUUUUGUUGGUUUCUAGGAUUGACGUAAUGAUUAAUAGGGAUAGUUGGGGGCAUUAGUAUUCAAUUGUCAGAGGUGAAAUUCUUGGAUUUAUUGAAGACUAACUACUGCGAAAGCAUUUGCCAAGGAUGUUUUCAUUAAUCAAGAACGAAAGUUAGGGGAUCGAAGACGAUCAGAUACCGUCGUAGUCUUAACCAUAAACUAUGCCGACUAGGGAUCGGAUGAUGUUAAUUUUUUAAUGACUCAUUCGGCGCCUUACG
rnacentral:rRNA from 1 species